UUCAAGCUUUGAAGUGGCCACUGCUAAUGAGGUGUCUAUCCAACUAAGAAACCUGCUAGCAGGUCACUAUCUGAGUUAGUGACCUGCUAGCAGGGCUCUAACUAGUACCCACAAAAAUGCAUUUUCUAAGCGAGAUAGACCAUGUGUAGUAAGGCUUCUUAGCUGGAUAGUAACCCUCAGAGUGAUUAGUGGCUUCUAUGCUGCGCUGCUAAUCACUCCGAGGGUUACUAUCCACUAAGUAAGUUACUUACGCGGGUAACUGAGAUUACUGCAAAUCUAAGUUGCAACUUCUUCAUUGAAUUUAGUAGAUUGUGGUGAAGGGCCUGUAGGCCCGAGAUAUUUAUCUACUACAAAUGCUGUUUCAUCUAUAUUUAAUACCUUGCAAGCCGAAACUUACUGAGUAUGCUGAAGAAAGAAGACAAAAGAAUACCCCUCCUCUCUACACCCCUACACGUCACCACCCUCGUAAAUGUUAUCGGCUGUUCCGGCUAUAUAUACCCCUUGUAUACCUCACCAGCUUCUCUUCAUCAAAGACUGUCUGAUUAGAGUGCUAAACUAAUCAUAAUUAUAGCUAUAAUAAUCAUUUUUAUCGUGUAAGUUUUUGUGUUGUUCGGUUUGAUCCCACUCGUUUUACACUUAAAAAGCAACUGGCAGUGCUGUGGAAGUGUAUGUAAUUAUACUUAAUGAAUUGGAAAUUGAAAUGUACGCUCACCAGCCUAGUAGAAACUUCGUACAAUUGAUUCAUCAAAAGUGAAAACAAUUAUUUAAUAUCUUUAAGAAAGUUACAUGGUGUAUUAUGUAUCUUGUCAUGUGAAUGAUCAUGGUUAUUGCCUCAAACUA